GGGGACGAAUUGGAUUCGACGGGAUCGAGGUGACUGAAGAACGCGUGUCCAGGUCCUGGAACCUGGUAAAACCUUCAGGAAACCAUAAUAAUCGGCAACGAUUAUAAUUUUGCUCUGGCCGCUUAAUCAAGCGGUCCGUUCCCUCGGGACCGCCCCUGCCGGGGCCUGAACGGGACGUCGCAAAAGGCGGGGUAGUUCCUGUUAUUGUCUGAGUAACGGGAAUGAGACUCAAUCAGACUCGGCCGAGAGAUUUCCUGCCUGCCGGAAACUCGAGGCGAGAUUCAAAGACAGGCUACGCACGUAGGGUUCUUCAGGAGUCUGUUUCCGGACGUGGGUUCGAUUCCCACCGUCUCCACCC
rnacentral:tmRNA from 1 species